AAAAAUAAGAUGACUAUGAAUAAUGUAAUUGGAAGAGCCCCCUUUUUGUAGAAAUGUCAUCUAAACUUAUACCUCAAUUUUAAUUUGUCAUCUUAAAAAAAAUUUAAGAGAAAUGUCAUCCUAAUUUUUCAAAAUCCAUGAUUUGUCAUCUGACUUUAACACCAUCCAACCCUAACCCCACCCGCCCCCAAAACACAUCACACAUGACCUCCCCC
rnacentral:lncRNA from 1 species